AGGAGAGAGAAGAGGCUGAAUACGAUAGACUACCGAAGUGAGCACGAUAGUUGUCUGAACUGUUCCUAGGGAUGGAACCUAGUGUCUCAUACCUGCUAGGCAUGCAGUCAACUGCUGAGCUACAGCCCCCAGCCCUGGUGCAGAAUCUGAUUAGAAUUGUUGGGAAAUCAGGCAUUGUGGAACACAUCUGUAAUCCCAGCACCUUGGAGGGACAUCUCAGGAGGAAGGGCCAUCCAACCAUGGAGCUGACUGAGGGACAGAAUUGAAGCAGGAAGAGGAGCUCAUCCAUGCGAACAUCAUUUAAGCAUCUGGCUCCAAGUGUGCCUGUAGCUGGUCCCUCCUUGGACUUUGUAGUUGAUUUGAUAAAUCAUUUUUUCUUCUAAUGCAUGAGUACUAUGUUUUGUUAGGUUUUCUUUUGGGGGCUGAAAAUGUACUUAUGAAAGUGUGUUGGUUGAGUAGAUUUGUGUUAGUAGUCUCAUGAUGAUCUGCGAGACUGAUAUUACCUUCAUUUAUCAGAUUCCAACUAUCUAAGGCUUAGAGGACAUAAGUAAGUUAACUCAUUUG